rnacentral:rRNA from 1 species
UGAGGAACAUGACCUUCGGCGGGGGAUAGCCGGCCCAACGGCCGGGUAAUACCGCGUACGACCACAUGGGGACAUCCCUGAGUGGUGAAAGCAGCAAUGCGCCGAUGGAGUGCCUCGCGGCCUAUCAGCUAGUUGGUGAGGUAACGCUCACCAAGGCGACGACGGGUAGCUGGUCUGAGAGGAUGGCCAGCUACAGUUGGGACUGAGACACGGCCCAGACCUGUACCGGGGAGG